AUUGAACGCUGGCGGAAUGCUUUACACAUGCAAGUCGAACGGUAGAGGGGGCAACCCCUCGAGAGUGGCGAACGGGUGAGUAAUAUAUCGGAAUGUGCCCAGUCGUGGGGGAUAACGUAGCGAAAGUUACGCUAAUACUGCAUACGAAUUAAGGCUGAAAGGGGGGGAUGGCAAGACCUCGCGCGCUUGGAGUGUCCGAUAUCAGAUUAGGUAGUUGGUGGGGUAAAGGCACAGCAAGCCAACGACCUGUCGCUGGUCUGAGAGGACGACCUGCCACACUGGAACUGAGACACGGUCCAGACUCCUACGGGAGGCAGCAGUGGGAAAUUUUGUAAAAGGGACGAACUGCGAGGCCGGCCAUUCCGCGUGCAGAAUUAAGGCCCACGGUUUGUAAACAGCUUUUGUACGGAGCUAAAAGGUCUCGCUAAAUACGGGGAGCUCAUGACGGUACCGGAAGAAUAAGCACCGGCUAACUACGUGCCAGCCGCCGCAGUAA
rnacentral:rRNA from 1 species